rnacentral:rRNA from 1 species
UUAAGAAAAUAAGUGCAAGCGGUGGAUGCCUUGGCAUUCAGAGGCGAUGAAGGACGUGAUAAUCUGCGAUAAGCUUCGGUUAGCUGGUAAAUGAGCUAUGACCCGGAGAUUUCCGAAUGGGGGAACCCACCUGACACAAGUUGGGUACUCACUCGAUAUAGAGUGUAGAGCGAACGAGGGGAACUGAAACAUCUAAGUACCCUUAGGAAGAGAAAUCAAUUGAGAUUCCCGUAGUAGUGGCGAGCGAAGUGGGAAGAGCCUGGUAUGAUUUAGCUGUAAUUAUAGUAGAACAAGUUGGGAAGCUUGACGAUAGAGGGUGAUAGUCCCGUAUACGAAAUAAUCACAGUGGAACUAAGCAUACGAACAAGUAGGACGGGGCACGUGGAACCUUGUCUGAAUAUGGGGGGACCAUCCUCCAAGGCUAAAUACUCCUGAAUGACCGAUAGUGAACUAGUACCGUGAGGGAAAGGUGAAAAGAACCCUUAUAAAGGGAGUGAAAUAGAAUCUGAAACCGCUUGCAUACAAGCAGUAGGAGCAUGAUUUAGUCAUGUGACUGCGUACCUUUUGUAUAAUGGGUCAGCGAGUUAUUUUUAGUGGCGAGGAUAACUGAAUAAGGGAUCCGUAGCGAAAGCGAGUUUUAAUAGGGCGACUAGUCGCUAGGAGUAGACCCGAAACCGGCGCGAUCUAUCCAUGGCCAGGUUGAAGAUUAGGUAGUACUAAUUGGAGGACCGAACCCAAUACUGUUGCAAAAGUAUGGGAUGAGCUGUGGAUCGGAGUGAAAGGCUAAUCAAGCACGGAGAUAGCUGGUUCUCCCCGAAAACUAUUUAGGUAGUGCCUCGUGUAUAACUCAUUGGGGUAAAGCACUGUUUCGACAAUGGGGGUUUUACGACCUUACUGACUCGAUGCAAACUCAGAAUACGAUGAAGUUCGAUCACGGGAGACACACUGCGGGUGCUAAGGUCCGCAGUGGAAAGGGAAACAGCCCAGACCGCCAACUAAGGUCCCAAAGUCAUAGCUAAGUGGGAAACGAAGUGGGAAGGCCCAGACAGCCAGGAGGUUGGCUUAGAAGCAGCCACCCUUUAAAGAAAGCGUAAUAGCUCACUGGUCGAGUCGGCCUGCACGUAAGAUUUAACGGGGCUAAGCUAUGCACUGAAGUUGCGGAAUAUAUUUAGUAUAUUGGUAGGGGAGCGUUCUGUAAGCCGAUGAAGGUGAAUUGAGAAGUUUGCUGGAGGUAUCAGAAGUGCGAAUGCUGACAUGAGUAACGUAAAAUAAGUGAGAUUCUUAUUGGCCGAAAACCCAAGGGUUCCUACGCAAUGUUAAUCAACGUAGGGUAAGCCGGCCCCUAAGGCGUAGCUGAAGAGUGAAGUCGAUGGGAAACAGGUUAAUAUUCCUGUGCUGCUUAUAUGAACGAAGGAGGGACGGAGAAGGUUAGGUAGGCCUGGCGAAUGGUUGUCCAGGUGAAAGUAUGUAGGUAGGAAUGCUAGGCAAAUCCGGUGUUCUGUUGAUCUGAGAUACGAGACGAAGUUAAACUUGUUUGACGAAGCUAUUGAUACCAUGCUUCCAGGAAAAGCUUCUAAGUAUAUUGUAUAAGUGACCGUACUGUAAACCGACACUGGUGGGUAGGUAGAGAAUACUAAGGCUAUGAGAUAACUCUGGUGAAGGAACUAGGCAAAAUGACACCGUAACUUUGGAAGAAGGUGUGCCCUUGAUGGUGAUGAGACUUGCUCUUUGAGCUGUUGGGGGUUGCAGAUACCAGGUGGCUGCGACUGUUUAUCAAAAACACAGCACUCUGCGAAAUCGUAAGAUGAAGUAUAGGGUGUGACGCCUGCCCGGUGCUGGAAGGUUAAUUGAAGGGGUUAGCGCAAGCGAAGCUCUGGAUCGAAGCCCCAGUAAACGGCGGCCGUAACUAUAACGGUCCUAAGGUAGCGAAAUUCCUUGUCGGGUAAGUUCCGACC